rnacentral:rRNA from 1 species
UUACCAGCAUGCAACUGACACUGAGGCACGAAAGCGUGGGUAUCAAACAGGAUUAGAUACCCUGGUAGUCCACGCAGUAAACGAUGAAUACUAGCUGUUGGCGAUAUAAUGUCAGCGGUACAGCGAAAGUGUUAAGUAUUCCACCUGGGGAGUACGCCGGCAACGGUGAAACUCAAAGGAAUUGACGGGGGCCCGCACAAGCGGAGGAACAUGUGGUUUAAUUCGAUGAUACGCGAGGAACCUUACCCGGGCUUGAAAGUUAGUGACGGCGGAUGAAAGUCUGCUUCCCUUCGGGGCACGAAACUAGGUGCUGCAUGGUUGUCGUCAGCUCGUGCCGUGAGGUGUCGGCUUAAGUGCCAUAACGAGCGCAACCCUUGCCGUUAGUUGCCAGCGGGUAAUGCCGGGAACUCUAGCGGGACUGCUACUGUAAGGUAGAGGAAGGUGGGGAUGACGUCAAAUCAGCACGGCCCUUACGUCCGGGGCGACACACGUGUUACAAUGGUAGGUACAGAGGGUUGCUACCCCGCGAGGGGAUGCUAAUCUCCUAAAACCUAUCUCAGUUCGGAUCGGAGUCUGCAACUCGACUCCGUGAAGCUGGAUU